rnacentral:rRNA from 1 species
CCUACGGGAGGCUGCAGUGAGGAAUAUUGGUCAAUGGACGAGAGUCUGAACCAGCCAAGUCGCGUGAAGGAUGACUGCCCUAUGGGUUGUAAACUUCUUUUAUAAAGGAAUAAAACGAGGCACGUGUGCCUUUUUGCAUGUACUUUAUGAAUAAGGAUCGGCUAACUCCGUUCCAGCCGCCGCGGUAAUACGGAGGAUGCGAGCGUUAUCCGGAUUUAUUGGGUUUAAAGGGAGCGUAGAUGGGUUGUUAAGUCAGUUGUGAAAGUUUGCGGCUCAACCGUAAAAUUGCAAUUGAUACUGGCAGUCUUGAGUACAGUUGAGGUAGGCGGAAUUCGUGGUGUAGCGGUGAAAUGCUUAGAUAUCACGAAGAACCCCGAUUGCGAAGGCAGCUUACUAAACUGUGACUGACAUUGAUGCUCGAAAGUGUGGGUAUCAAACAGGAUUAGAUACCCCGGUAGUC